AUGGAAACUAAUCCUUUGAGGGGCUUGUUUGGGGUAUCUUCACCCCAACCAGAAGAGCAAAGAGUUUCUCCUCAACCUACUGAACUUUAUGGAAAUAUUUACUCUGAGAUUCCUUCGGGUAUGAUAGAGAAACUGCUAGCUAAUCCAUUUGCAGGAGAUGGAACAUUGCAUCCUGAUUUACACCUUAUCUUUGUGGAUGAAGUUUGUGGAUUAUUUAAGCUUGUAGGUAUUCCCGAUGAUGUUGUCAAAAGUAAGCUCUUCCCUUCAUCUUUGAAGGGAGAUGCAUUAACAUGGUAUAGGCUAUGUGAUGAUACGAGAUCUUGGAAUUAUAAGCGAUUGAAGUUGGAAUUUCACCAGAAGUUGUAUCCUAUGCAUCUUGUUCAUCGUGAUCGUAAUUACAUAUAUAAUUUCUGGCCUCAUGAAGGAGAAAGCAUAGCUCAAGCUUGGGGGAGGCUUAAGUCAAUGUUAUAUUCAUGCCCCAAUCAUGAGCUCUCUCGGGAAAUGAUUAUUCAAAACUUUUAUGCUCGGCUUUCUCUUGAUAAUCGCAACCUACUCGAUACUUCCUGUGCUGGCUCUUAUAUGCUGAAGACUAUUGAUUUCAAAUGGGACUUAUUGGAAAGAAUUAAAUGCAACUCUGAAGAUUGGGGUUCCGACGAUGGUAAGGAGUCAGGUAUGACACCUAAGUUCGAUUGUGUUAAAUCUUUUAUGGAUACCGAUGCUUUCCGUGGAUUUAGCGCUAAGUAUGGACUUGACUCUGAGAUAGUAGCUUCUUUCUGUGAAUCUUUUGCUACUCACAUUGAUCUCCCUAAAGAGAAGUGGCUUAAAUAUAAUCCUCCUGUUGAAAUGAAAGUAGUUGCACCUAUUACAGUCGAAGAAAAGACUAUUACCUAUAGUGAUCCUAUUGUUCCUACUACUUAUGUUGAAAAACCUCAUUUUCCUGUUAGGAUAAAGGAUCAUGUUAAAGCUUCGACUAUUAUUCGUAAGAGUAAUACUAGGACUUAUACACCUCCUGAGCAAAUUAAUGUUGAACCUAGUAUUGCUAUGGUUAAAGAUCUCUUGGAUGAUGAUUUAGAUGGGCAUGUUAUUUAUUUCUAUGGUGAGAUUGCUAAUAUUGCUAGGCCAGAUACUAAGACACGUAGACCUGUCGUAGGCAUGCCUGUUAUUUCUGUUAAAAUAGGAGAUCAUUGUUAUCAUGGCUUAUGUGAUAUGGGUGCUAGUGCUAGUGCAAUACCUUAUACCUUAUACCAAGAAAUUAUGCAUGACAUUGCACCCAUUGAAUUAGAAGGCAUUGAUGUUACUAUUAAGCUUGCUAAUAGGGAUACCAUUAAACCCUUUGGGAUUGUUAGGGAUGUUGAAGUUUUGUGUGGGUAG
rnacentral:rRNA from 1 species